rnacentral:rRNA from 1 species
UGGGGAAUUUUGGACAAUGGGCGAAAGCCUGAUCCAGCAAUGCCGCGUGUGUGAAGAAGGCCUUCGGGUUGUAAAGCACUUUUGUCCGGAAAGAAAUCCUCUGGGUUAAUACCUCGGGGGGAUGACGGUACCGGAAGAAUAAGCACCGGCUAACUACGUGCCAGCAGCCGCGGUAAUACGUAGGGUGCAAGCGUUAAUCGGAAUUACUGGGCGUAAAGCGUGCGCAGGCGGUUUGCUAAGACCGAUGUGAAAUCCCCGGGCUCAACCUGGGAACUGCAUUGGUGACUGGCAGGCUAGAGUAUGGCAGAGGGGGGUAGAAUUCCACGUGUAGCAGUGAAAUGCGUAGAGAUGUGGAGGAAUACCGAUGGCGAAGGCAGCCCCCUGGGCCAAUACUGACGCUCAUGCACGAAAGCGUGGGGAGCAAACAGGAUUAGAUACCCUGGUAGUCCACGCCCUAAACGAUGUCAACUAGUUGUUGGGGAUUCAUUUCCUUAGUAACGUAGCUAACGCGUGAAGUUGAUCGCCUGGGGAGUACGGUCG